GCUAGAUAGAUAUACAACUGCUUUACUAGCUUAGUUAUGUCUAUUGCUAUUCGGUGGCUUCCACCAUUACAUCAAUUUUUUUAAAAGGUUAUUAUUAUGUCUAAUUCUGUAAACGGUACAGUUAAGUGGUUUAACGAAGAAAAAGGUUUCGGUUUCAUUACUCCUGAAGCUGGUGGCAAAGACGUAUUCGUACACUUCCGUUCAAUCACUUCUGACGGCUUCAAGACUCUUGCUGAAGGUCAAGCGGUUAGCUUUGAAGUUGAACAAGGCCAAAAAGGCCCACAAGCUGCUAACGUAACAGUUCUUUAAGACCUGUAAGCCAGCUUAGGGUUAUUUCUCUUAUCUGAAGUAACCCGCA
rnacentral:misc_RNA from 1 species